rnacentral:rRNA from 1 species
GUUGCAGUUAAAAAGUCUACGUAGUUGAAUUUCGGGUUUCCGGCGCUCCCGCUUCAUUGCGGGGCACACGGGGACCCUCCUCGCCUUAGGGCGUCAUUUACUGUGAAAAAAUUAGAGUGUUCAAAGCAGGCAAUCGCUUGAAUACAUUAGCAUGGAAUAAUAAGAUAGGAUUACGUCUAUUUUGUUGGUUGCGGACGAUAAUAAUGAUUAAUAGGGAUAGUUGGGGGUGUCCGUAUUGAGCUGUCAGAGGUGAAAUUCUUGGAUUUGCUCAAGACGAACUACUGCGAAAGCAUUCACCAAGGAUGUUUUCAUUAAUCAAGAACGAAAGUCAGGGGAUCGAAGAGGAUUACGAUACCCUCGUAGUCUUGACCAUAAACUAUGCCGACUCGGGAUUGGCAGACGUUGUAUCGACUCUGUCAGCACCGUAUGAUAAAUCAAAGUCUUUGGGUAUCCGGGGGGAGUAUGGUCGCAAGGCUGAAACUCAAAACGU